CUUUCACUGGAUGUGAUCUAAUUUACGAGGUCCUUUCACUGGAUGUGAUCUAAUUCAUGAUGUCCUUUCUGGAUGUGAUCUGAUUCAUGAGGUCCUUUCACUGGAUGUGAUCUAAUUCAUGAUGUCCUUUCUGGAUGUGAUCUGAUUCAUGAGGUCCUUUCACUGGAUGUGAUCUAAUUCACGAGGUCCUUUCACUGGAUGUGAUCUAAUUCACGAGGUCCUUUCACUGGAUGCGAUCAGUCCAAUUCAUGAGGUCCUUUCACUGGACGCGAUCUGAUUCACGACUGUGUGUCGUAAUUUCGUCGAUCGAUCUCCGGCGGAGAAGAAGCUCUCUUGCAUGUUAAACCAAGUACACAGUGUACACGAACGUAUCAAAUAGUCUUUACAAAGCACUGAGCACGCUUCCUUUUUGAGGGAUCAUAAUUAAUGCCAGUUCAAGGGAAUUCAGACUUGGUUAAAGUUCAUUUCAGUUUGAAUAUUUUAUUAACAUGUCCAUGCCGUAGGUCAAGACUAAAAUUGCCCAGGCUGUUUUUUACUAAAAGAAACAAAUUAUACUACAGUAAUUCCUGUUCAUUUAAUUAUACGACUUAUUGGCCAGUCAAUGCGCAUAAAAUCAUGAAUUUAAAUUGUUUAAAACUGAUGUUAACGUGAAAAUAAAACUCUGUGAAAAUGAAA